rnacentral:rRNA from 1 species
UACGUAGGUGGCGAGCGUUGUCCGGAUUUACUGGGCGUAAAGAGCGCGCAGGCGGUCGUACAAGUCGCGUGUGAAAGCCCCUGGCUCAACUGGGGAGGGUCACGCGAUACUGUUCGACUCGAAGGCAGGAGAGGGAAGUGGAAUUCCCGGUGUAGUGGUGAAAUGCGUAGAGAUCGGGAGGAACAUCAGUUGCGAAGGCGGCUCUCUGGACCAGCACUGACACUGAGGCACGAAAGCGUGGGGAGCAAACAGG